CAGGGUGUGGGAAAGCCUGGCUACUCCGCGUGCUUCGGGAGCACGAGAUCGUCGGUUCAAAUCCGACCAUCCUGA
rnacentral:tRNA from 3 species